AUUGAACGCUGGCGGCGUGCUUAACACAUGCAAGUCGAGCGGUAACAGGCCCGCAAGGGCGCUGACGAGCGGCGGACGGGUGAGCAAUACAUAGGAAUCUACCUUAGAGCGGGGGAUAGCCCGGGGAAACCCGGAUUAAUACCGCAUGAUGUCGAAAGACCAAAGUGGGGGACCGUAAGGCCUCACACUCUGAGAUGAGCCUAUGUCGGAUUAGCUAGUUGGCGGGGUAACGGCCCACCAAGGCGACGAUCCGUAGCUGGUCUGAGAGGACGAUCAGCCACACCGGAACUGAGACACGGUCCGGACUCCUACGGGAGGCAGCAGUGGGGAAUAUUGGACAAUGGGCGAAAGCCUGAUCCAGCGACGCCGCGUGGGUGAAGAAGGCCU
rnacentral:rRNA from 1 species